CAGAGUUACCUAAACUCCCAAAACCCUUUGUGAACCUUACCACCGUUUCCUCGGCGCGAGCUGCGGCUACCCGGGAGCUACCCUGCAGCUACCCUGCAGUAGGGGGCCUACCCUGUAGCCGGCCUCCGGCCCGCCAGAGGACCCCUAAACUCUUGUUUCAACCACUGUAUCUCUGAACACCUAACUGAAAUAAGUUA
rnacentral:misc_RNA from 1 species